UACGUAGGAGGCGAGCGUUGUCCGGAGUUACUGGGCGUAAAGGGUGCGCAGGCGGUGGCCCGCGUGGGCGGUGAAAGCUCCUGGCUCAACUGGGAGAGGGCCGUCCAGACGGGGUCACUUGAGGGGCGGAGAGGGGCGUGGAAUUCCGGGUGGAGCGGUGAAAUGCGUAGAUAUCAGGAGGAACACCUGUGGUGUAGACAGCUUUCUGGACCAUUGCUGACGCUGAGACACGAAAGCGUGGGUAGCAAACAGG
rnacentral:rRNA from 1 species